rnacentral:rRNA from 1 species
GACGAACGCUGGCGGCGUGCUUAACACAUGCAAGUCGAACGGAAAGGCCCUGCUUUUGUGGGGUGCUCGAGUGGCGAACGGGUGAGUAACACGUGAGUAACCUGCCCUUGACUUUGGGAUAACUUCAGGAAACUGGGGCUAAUACCGGAUAGGAGCUCCUGCUGCAGGGUGGGGGUUGGAAAGUUUCGGCGGUUGGGGAUGGACUCGCGGCUUAUCAGCUUGUCGGUGGGGUAGUGGCUUACCAAGGCUUUGACGGGUAGCCGGCCUGAGAGGGUGACCGGCCACAUUGGGACUUAGGUACGGCCCCGACUCCUACGGGAGGAAGCAGUUGGGAAUAUUGCACAAUGGGCGGAAGCCUGAUGCAGCAACGCCGCGUGCGGGAUGACGGCCUUCGGGUUGUAAGCCGCUUUCGCCUGUGACGAAGAGUGAGUGACGGUAAUGGGUAUAGAAGCACCGGCUAACUUUGUG